rnacentral:miRNA from 2 species
UCAUCCUGGCUGACUUCUGCU